rnacentral:rRNA from 1 species
AGUGAACGCUGGCGGUAGGCCUAACACAUGCAAGCCGAACGGCAGCACAGUAAGAGCUUGCUCUUACGGGUGGCGAGUGGCGGACGGGUGAGGAAUACAUCGGAAUCUACUUUUUCGUGGGGGAUAACGUAGGGAAACUUACGCUAAUACCGCAUACGACCUACGGGUGAAAGCAGGGGAUCUUCGGACCUUGCGCGAUUGAAUGAGCCGAUGUCGGAUUAGCUAGUUGGCGGGGUAAAGGCCCACCAAGGCGACGAUCCGUAGCUGGUCUGAGAGGAUGAUCAGCCACACUGGAACUGAGACACGGUCCAGACUCCUACGGGAGGCAGCAGUGGGGAAUAUUGGACAAUGGGCGCAAGCCUGAUCCAGCCAUACCGCGUGGGUGAAGAAGGUCUUCGGGUUGUAAAGCCCUUUUGUUGGGAAAGAAAAGCAGCAGGUUAAUACCCCGCUGUUCUGACGGUACCCAAAGAAUAAGCACCGGCUAACUUCGUG